rnacentral:rRNA from 1 species
GGGGGGAGCAAACGUUGUUCGGAAUCACUGGGCGUAAAGGGCGCGUAGGCGGCCCCGCAAGUGGUGUGUGAAAUGCCCUGGCUCAACCAGGGAACUGCGCACCAAACUGCGGAGCUUGAGGGCAGUAGAGGAAGCUGGAAUUCCUGGUGUAGCGGUGAAAUGCGUAGAUAUCAGGAGGAACACCGUUGGCGAAGGCGAGCUUCUGGGCUGUUCCUGACGCUGAGGCGCGAAAGCUGGGGGGGGAGCAAACAGGAUUAGAUACCCUGGUAGUCCCAGCCGUAAACGGUGAACACUAGGUGUGGGGGGGUGUCGACCCUUUCCCGUGCCGCAGCUAACGCAUUAAGUGUUCCGCCUGGGAAGUACGGUCGCAAGGCUG